rnacentral:rRNA from 1 species
UACGGAGGGUGCAAGCGUUAAUCGGAAUUACUGGGCGUAAAGCGUGCGUAGGCGGUUCGUUAAGUCUGCUGUGAAAGCUCCGGGCUCAACCUGGGAAUGGCAGUGGAUACUGGCGAGCUAGAGUGUGAUAGAGGAUGGUGGAAUUCCCGGUGUAGCGGUGAAAUGCGUAGAGAUCGGGAGGAACAUCAGUGGCGAAGGCGGCCAUCUGGAUCAACACUGACGCUGAGGCACGAAAGCGUGGGGAGCAAACAGG